AGAUAGAUUAGGUUUAGUGUUAGAAUUUAGAUUAAACAAGCAGAGUCUGAUUUUCAAAACCAAAAACCAAAACCAACAUAGCACCCUAGAACUCUGGGAGCAAACACCCUGGAGCCAGGCUGAGCACACAGGGCAGCCACGUGGGGGUCUCCACCACCCAAGGAACCCUGGCUCCUCAGGAGGGGCCACAAAACAGGCCCUCAAUAAGUAUUUAUAGAACAAAUGAGUGAAUGAAUUUCGCUUGAAUUAAACAUGACUCGUCCACGCCUGGCAUAAUUCCUUUUCAUUCCAGUGAACGGAAGCCCGGCUGAGAGCAGGGAAGUUCCCUGAGCUGCCCAGCUGCCUAGGGGCUUUUCCGGCCUGGGCCAAGGCAGGAGGAAGCCCCAACUAACUCAUAGUCACUCCUCAGAAUACUUUUAUUAAAGGGGAAAAAAUCACCAAUGAUGAUAUCCAGUGACAAGCUUCUGCCACCCACACAUUCCACGUUCCACCUGGCCAUGAGCUGGUUUCAGUCUCAGGGCACAAGCAACACAAGUCAGAAUUUUUUUUUUUUUCUUUUAAUCUUUGGGGAAGAAACAGAAAAGGAGGAGAAAGCAGAGUAACAAGUGCAGAUUAAAUAUGAGGCAGGUCCAGGCUUUUGAUACCACUGUGUUUAACUCACCAAAUAAUCAGAGCAUUAAAUGCAGGCAUAAUUUGUCAGCAAGCUCCCUCCAUUGUUCCCUGAAGCAUGCGGGGUUGGGGGGGGGGUGUGGGCUAAUUCAAUUCACGUGGGAAUCGGUGUUUACAUCCACGAGUCCUAAUGGAAGGGCACACCAUUUUCAAACUGGAACAAAUAAAUCAUAAUGCCCUUUGCCACUAAAACCGGGGACCUUGCGAUGCCUCUCUCUUGGUGGACGAGCUACAUUUGGAAGGACGUUUUCUUCAGUGUGGAAAUCUCCACUUGCUGGCUACUGCAGCAAGUCCCAGAAGAAAGCCAGGUGCAUGGCAGUCCAUCUCUCCGGCGGAACCCUGUUUCAUGGCCUGCGGGUGCUGCGGGGCGGUGGACACUCGCUUGUAGCAUCCGGAUGGAAGCGGAACCACCUCCGUCCGCGUGGCCGCGGCCUCCCAAGAAACCGGAGCAGGUCAAGGAGGCGCGGUCCAGACCGGCCAGCAGGGGACGCCGCGGGCCCUGUCGAAACAAAGGCUCGCGGGCGGGAGCCGGGAAGUGGGGGGCGGCACCGGGGGGCCGGUGGGGCGGGGGGGGAUCUCCACCCCGCGCCCUCCGCAGCCCAAACCCGCCCGCGGCCCGGGGGCUGACCCAGGGCAGCCCGGCCCCCUGGGAGGGGACGGGCGGGGGUGACCUGGUGUCUUUCCCAAGAUGGUUCCCACGGGCCGCGCGGUCGCGGGCAUCUGUCCCCGGGUCACCGACGGGCUUCCCCGCGGCGCAGCGCGGCCGCCCGGGGGUGCUGCGAGGCGGGGACCCCAGGCCCGCGUGGGCACAGCCGCCGAGGCCUGCGCCAUCCCGGGGGGCAGGUCCUCCCGCCCGCGCCGCCCGCCCCCCGGCCACUCCCUGCGGUGACCUCAUUCCGGGGUCGCGCCGAGCAGCCUGCCUUCCGCGCCCGGGACCUUGCAGGCUUUUGCGUUUGCACACGCGGCGCGGGCGGCCUCGUCCUUAG
ensembl:lncRNA